GAGAUGGCUCAGUGGUUAAGAGCACUGGCUGCUCUUCCAGAAGACCUGGGUUCAAUUCCCAGAACUCA
rnacentral:tRNA from 1 species